AUGAACGCUGGCGGCGUGCUUAAUACAUGCAAGUCGAACGAAGAGCCCUUAACCGAAGAUGAUGACGUGCUUGCACUGAAUCUGUUCACCUUAGGGUUACUGAGUGGCGGACGGGUGAGUAACGCGUGGGUAACCUGCCUUAGACAGGGGGAUAACAUCAAGAAAUUGGUGCUAAUACCGCAUAUGCUCACAGUAUCGCAUGAUACAGUGAGGAAAACUCCGGUGGUCUAAGAUGGACCCGCGUCUGAUUAGCUAGUUGGAGGGGUAACGGCCCACCAAGGCGACGAUCAGUAGCCGACUUGAGAGAGUGAUCGGCCACAUUGGGACUGAGACACGGCCCAAACUCCUACGGGAGGCAGCAGUAGGGAAUAUUGCACAAUGGGGGAAACCCUGAUGCAGCGACGCCGCGUGAAGGAUGAAGUAUUUCGGUAUGUAAACUUCUAUCAGCAAGGAAGAAAAUGACGGUACUUGACUAAGAAGCCCCGGCUAAAUACGUGCCAGCAGCAGC
rnacentral:rRNA from 1 species